AGAAUCAACGCUGGCGGCGUGCCUAACACAUGCAAGUCGAACGAGAAAGUGGAGCAAUCCACGAGUAAAGUGGCGCACGGGUGAGUAACACGUGACUAACCUACCCUUGAGUGGGGGAUAACCUAGGGAAACCUGGGCUAAUACCGCAUGAUACCUACGGGUCAAAGGAGCAAUUCGCUUAAGCGAGGGGGUCGCGGCCGAUUAGUUAGUUGGCGGGGUAAUGGCCCACCAAGACGAUGAUCGGUAUCCGGCCUGAGAGGGCGCACGGACACACUGGAACUGAAACACGGUCCAGACUCCUACGGGAGGCAGCAGUGGGAAUUUUGCGCAAUGGGGGAAACCCUGACGCAGCAACGCCGCGUGGAGGAUGAAGUCCCUUGGGAUGUAAACUCCUUUCGAUCGGGACGAUUAUGACGGUACCGGAAGAAGAACGCCCGGCUAACUUCGUGCCAGCAGCCGC
rnacentral:rRNA from 1 species